GGGAACUUGCAAGGGAGCGUGUGAGAAGGACAGGUGGGGUCAGGCAUCUGCAGCUACCGAGAUAGCCAUCCCCAUCACCUCUCAGUGCUCACGCAGCCAGAAGUAGCUGUACUGAUCAGUUCAGACAUCGUGCAGCUGAAACACAAACAUCUGCCGUUCACUUGUGUGAACCUCUGUAAUCUGCUGUACAUGCACUUCUCCAGCAACGAGUCAUGUCGGUACUGAAGCGAAGGCAAGAUGAGCUGGAAACGGAAUCUACUUAUAUGCAGCAUCUGACAACUGGGAAUGGCAAACCAAGUAAUGAUGGAUUGGAGAGUGAUGAAAAGAUGAAGCUUCU